UACGUAGGGGUCGAGCGUUGUCCGGAGUUACUGGGCGUAAAGCGCGCGCAGGCGGCGCGAUAAGACCGGCGUGAAAGCCCCCGGCUCAACCGGGGAGGGUCGUUGGUGACUGUCGCGCUUGAAGGCAGCAGGGGUGAGUGGAAUUCCCGGUGUAGUGGUGAAAUGCGUAGAGAUCGGGAGGAACACCCGUGGCGAAGGCGGCUCACUGGGCUGACCUUGACGCUGAGGCGCGAAGGCGUGGGGAGCGAACGGGAUUAGAUACCCCGGUAGUCCACGCAGUAAACGAUGCAGACUAGGCGUGGGGGGACUUGACCCCCUCCGUGCCGGAGCUAACGCGGUAAGUCUGCCGCCUGGGGAGUACGGCCGCAAGGCUAAA
rnacentral:rRNA from 1 species